AGUGAACGCUGGCGGUAGGCCUAACACAUGCAAGUCGAACGGCAGCACAGUAAGAGCUUGCUCUUACGGGUGGCGAGUGGCGGACGGGUGAGGAAUACAUCGGAAUCUACUUUUUCGUGGGGGAUAACGUAGGGAAACUUACGCUAAUACCGCAUACGACCUACGGGUGAAAGCAGGGGAUCUUCGGUCCUUGCGCGAUUGAAUGAGCCGAUGUCGGAUUAGCUAGUUGGUGGGGUAAAGGCCCACCAAGGCGACGAUCCGUAGCUGGUCUGAGAGGAUGAUCAGCCACACUGGAACUGAGACACGGUCCAGACUCCUACGGGAGGCAGCAGUGGGGAAUAUUGGACAAUGGGCGCAAGCCUGAUCCAGCCAUACCGCGUGGGUGAAGAAGGCCUUCGGGUUGUAAAGCCCUUUUGUUGGGAAAGAAAAGCAGCAGGUUAAUACCCCGCUGUUCUGACGGUACCCAAAGAAUAAGCACCGGCUAACUUCGUG
rnacentral:rRNA from 1 species